rnacentral:rRNA from 1 species
CUUGCCUAAUACAUGCCAGGCGAGCCGAUAAGAGAAGGAGCUUGCUCCUUUGACGUUAGCGGCGGACGGGUGAGUAACACGUGGGCAACCUACCCUAUAGUUUGGGAUAACUCCGGGAAACCGGGGCUAAUACCGAAUAAUUUAUUUCAUCUCAUGGUGAAAUACUGAAAGACGGUUUCGGCUGUCGCUAUAGGAUGGGCCCGCGGCGCAUUAGCUAGUUGGUGAGGUAACGGCUCACCAAGGCGACGAUGCGUAGCCGACCUGAGAGGGUGAUCGGCCACACUGGGACUGAGACACGGCCCAGACUCCUACGGGAGGCAGCAGUAGGGAAUCUUCCACAAUGGGCGAAAGCCUGAUGGAGCAACGCCGCGUGAGUGAAGAAGGAUUUCGGUUCGUAAAACUCUGUUGUAAGGGAAGAACAAGUACAGUAGUAACUGGCUGUACCUUGACGGUACCUUAUUAGAAAGCCACGGCUAACUACGUGCCAGCAGCCGCGGUAAUACGUAAGUGGCAAGCGUUGUCCGGAAUUAUUGGGCGUAAAGCGCGCGCAGGUGGUUUCUUAAGUCUGAUGUGAAAGCCCACGCUCACCGUGGAGGGUCAUUGGAACUGGGAGACUUGAGUGCAAA